UGAACCAGAUGAUGCGACCUCC
rnacentral:siRNA from 1 species